rnacentral:misc_RNA from 1 species
GGAAUAUAAUAUCUCAAGAAGUUCUAAAAUCCCAAGUUAACAAGCCAAAAUAAAAAUAAGAAAUACAAGUCACUAGGUCAACAAAAUUAAAAAAAACAUAAACUUGUCUGCAAGCAUCCUCAACCAACCGCAACCGAUAUUAAUAUAAGUUCACACAUUAUUUCAAUUAGUGCGACUCAGCAGUAAAACAUAACCCUCUUCACAUUUUCUUUCAAUGCAGGGAGAGGCCUAACAGCAGUAUUACCUGGGGCCCGAGUGUUACGGCCUCCAAGAGGACCUCCCCGUCCGGUUCCAGCCAUAGACCCGCUGUCAGAUGUCUCAGGUUCCAAAUAAAACCGUGCACGGAAAGCAGCCAGAUGAGCAUAAUAAGCAGGCGGCACAAUUGAUACAGAUCGUGUGCACCUAGCAUAAGUGUAGCAUAGAUUGUUUGUCAGCGUUUGCAGUGUGUCCGCGGUGAAUUUGUUUUCAUCCCAUAGAACAUGGUAAUGUGCGGGGCGACUUGUACCCUGGAUGCCAGCGUGACUGCACAAGUAGAAAUCGAACUCAGUUGGAUGACAUAUCUUCGAAUCAACGACCGUACCAGGUAAGAUGUUUCCACUCCUGUCAACUGAUCGCUGAUCAGCAUGGUUGUUGGCAAACAACCUAGUGUGAUGACGCUUCUGAACCACAACAAAGGUUACACACGGCUGGUAAUCAGGCUCCAAAGUUGCACAUGCCUGCCGGAUUGCUUGGAGUUCAUACAACAGAACUUGAUAAAACUGUCCCUCACUCACACCAUCCCUGUAAAAU